GCACUAGUGGCGGAACUGGCAGACGCGCAUGAUUCAGGUUCAUGUGAGAAAUCGUGCAGGUUCAACUCCUGUCUAGUGCACCA
rnacentral:tRNA from 1 species